CGCUCCGGUGGCCUAGUGGUUAGAGUGUCCGUCUCGGAUGCGGGAGGUCGCGGGUUAAGACCCUGGCCGAGUAA